CCUACGGGCGGCAGCAGUGGGGAAUAUUGGACAAUGGGGGCAACCCUGAUCCAGCCAUGCCGCGUGUGUGAAGAAGGCCCUCGGGUUGUAAAGCACUUUCAGUGAGGAAGAACGCCUGGUGGUUAAUACCUAUCAGGAAAGACAUCACUCACAGAAGAAGCACCGGCUAACUCCGUGCCAGCAGCCGCGGUAAUACGGAGGGUGCGAGCGUUAAUCGGAAUUACUGGGCGUAAAGCGCGCGUAGGUGGCUUGAUAAGCCGGUUGUGAAAGCCCCGGGCUCAACCUGGGAACGGCAUCCGGAACUGUCAAGCUAGAGUGCAGGAGAGGAAGGUAGAAUUCCCGGUGUAGCGGUGAAAUGCGUAGAGAUCGGGAGGAAUACCAGUGGCGAAGGCGGCCUUCUGGACUGACACUGACACUGAGGUGCGAAAGCGUGGGUAGCAAACAGGAUUAGAUACCCUGGUAC
rnacentral:rRNA from 1 species